GAAGCUUGAAAGCUUCAUGUGAGUUAAAUUAAAUUGCAUGGACAAGAUAUAUAAAAAAAAAAAAAUCAAUAGAUAAAAAAACGUCUGAUGUAAAAUUUAGCAGCGGCCACCAGUGAAGAGAACACGGGCAUCAUCCAGUGAUCGAGAUGGAGAGGAGAGUGGAUCUCCCUCAGAACCCGAACCAUCACCCAGCUCGGACUCUGACUCCGGCAAAAACAGCGACCAGGACUUCACGCCACAGAAGGAGUCGGGUGGUCGCGGUGGCAAAAAGCCAGCAGGCAGAGGCAGCAGAAAGGUGAGACAACCUCAUUGACCUCAUGUGGCCAUCUAUAAUUACAUACUUGCUUGAUCUUAUACCAUUUUUUUUGUAUCAUUUUAGAAGGCAUCAUCUGGCUCCGAUUCAGAAUCGGGCUCCCAGUCAGAUCAGGGGGCCGCCAGGAGCAAUUCAGAAGAAGAGAAGCCCCGGCCGGCCGUCUCUGGAUCCGAAUCGCAGUCUGGAUCCAAAUCCGACUCUGAUUCAGAACCUCCUCCUCCUCCUCCUGCAAGGAAAGGCCCACAAGGGCGCAAGAAAGCGGAGAAACCUCCACCAAAGUCACGAGGAAGGAAAACCAAACCAGCUCCAGAAAGGGCUCCUUCCUCUUCAUCAGACAGCGACAGUGACAGCGAGACGGACCGCGUCAGCGAGUGGAAGAAGAGAGACGAGGAGCGGCGGAAGGAACUGGAGGAGCGAAGGAAGAAAGAAGAGGCUGAAGAGCUCCGUCGGCUCCGGGAGCGAGAGAAAGAGGAGGAUGAGAAAAGGAAAAAGGAGAAAGAGAACAAGGCCAGGAGAGGAAGCAGCAGUGGCAGCAGCUCGGACAAUGAAGUGGAUGAUCACCCUCUCAAAAAAUCCAAGAAACCUCCGCCUCCCCCCAUCCCCGCACCGUCAGACUCCGACUCGCCACCAGCUGCAGAGGGGAAGAAAUCCGCCAAACGUCACGACAGCCAGAAAAGGCGGCAAAAGAAAGAGAAGGAGCUGAAAGAGAAAAAAGAGAGGAAGAUCAAAGAAAGGAAGCCUCAGAGAUCAGAGGAGAAACGCAAAACGAGAAGGCCUAAGCCAGAGAAGCCUAAACGGAAGCCAACACGUCCACCUGAGAAGAAAGUCGAGAAGAAAAAAGAACCCUCACCUGAAGAGAAACUACAGAAGCUCCACACAGACAUCAAGUUUGCACUGAAAGUUGACAACCCAGACAUUGAGAAGUGUCUGCAGGCCCUGGACGAGCUCAGCUCAGUACAAGUAACCACUCAAAUCUUGCAGAAGAAUACAGAUGUUAUUGCCACACUCAAAAAGAUUCGCCGAUACAAAGCAAGCAGUGCUGUUAUGGAGAAGGCCACUGCAGUCUACAAUAAACUAAAGCUGCAGUUCAUUGGCAAGAUUGAGACCAGUAAACCAAAACCAGAUGAAAAGAACCAAGAAACCAACGAGCAAGACACACAAAACGCAGACGACUCCAAACCAGUGAAUGGAGAGUCAGAAAAUGAGAAAAAAGAUGUUUCUGAAUCGGAAAGCAACCCCAAACCCACAGACCAAGAGAAACCGGAUGAGAACAAAUCCCCGAACGGCAUCAGUCCCAAUCCAGAUGAGCCAACAGAGCAGCAAACACUCACAGCUGACUCCACAGACGCCGAUCCGGCAGAAGACACGGACGUAAAAGAGGACAGCAGAGCGCAGGACGAGCAGAUGUCUUCCGAGAGCUGAACGUUUCACAAACACACUUUGGCCUCCUUCGUUCAUUUGUGUUACUUCUUGUCUGCCCACCUUUGUGACCUACAUGAGUUUUUCGUGUUGUACAUAAAACGUGAUAUGAACAUUAUUAGCACUUUUGAAUCGGGACGUCAUGAGGCAAAACAAGCGCCUUAAUCUAAAUGUUCGAUGUGGAUGAUUCUGCACUACCCACGUUUGGUCAAUCGAGGACGAACGUUUUAUUUCAGAACCACGCUGACGUCUAGUAGGAAAAACACCGAAGCCCUUCAAAUAUAUUUGAGGACUGUGCUUGUAUUAUGUAGCCGCUUUUUAUGAGUAAAACCUUUUUUCCUUUAGUUUUUUUUUUUAUAUGAAAAAAAUAAGGAAAAUGCUAAAAAAAAAGUAAAAGAAAGCAGUCUGGUUUUGUGUUGAUUGACCCACUACGCCAUACAGGAAGAGAUCAUGAGGUUUCGUUGUCAUUAUUACUGCACAAAUCUACAUCUGAUCUGUCUGGUAUGGAUUUCCAUAACCUUCAGUGUCUAUGGACUUUCACUAAACUCUGUAGACCGCUUGUUGUCCGUUGUUUGGUAUUCUAAUAAUAACAACUUACAUCUGCAUAGGUUGACCCAAUAAUGCUAUUCUUUUCUUGGAUGUCAUAAACUAUGCGUAUCAUUCUUAUUAUAAACAUGUUUCUAGUGCUAUGUAACUUGGUCGGAGAUUUUUUUUAGUAUCCGUGAAGGAAUAAAUAAAAAUUCCGCAUGAUGGCCA
rnacentral:lncRNA from 1 species